rnacentral:rRNA from 1 species
GAUGAACGCUAGCUACAGGCUUAACACAUGCAAGUCGAGGGGAAACGGCAUUAAGUGCUUGCACUUUUUGGACGUCGACCGGCGCACGGGUGAGUAACGCGUAUCCAACCUUCCCAUGACUAAGGGAUAACCUGCCGAAAGGCAGACUAAUACCUUAUGGUCUUCACUGACGGCAUCAGAUGUGAAGUAAAGAUUUAUCGGUUAUGGAUGGGGAUGCGUCUGAUUAGCUUGUUGGCGGGGUAACGGCCCACCAAGGCAACGAUCAGUAGGGGUUCUGAGAGGAAGGUCCCCCACAUUGGAACUGAGACACGGUCCAAACUCCUACGGGAGGCAGCAGUGAGGAAUAUUGGUCAAUGGGCGAGAGCCUGAACCAGCCAAGUAGCGUGCAGGAUGACGGCCCUAUGGGUUGUAAACUGCUUUUGUAUGGCGAUAAAGUCAAUCACGUGUGAUUGUUUGCAGGUACCAUACGAAUAAGGACCGGCUAAUUCCGUG